UCCUUUCUCCAUGGUGGUCCAUUAUGCCUGGCUGACAUACAAGAUCUUCCUUGAAAGAAUACCUUUCCUUCACACCUGACAGGAGAUGCCUCCAGAGGCUUUAAGACCAUGCU